GCACCAGAAGGUCCGGAGUGCGGGUGACCCCGAGGAUGUGACACACGGAAUCUGCCCAUGGCCCUGCCCUCACUGAGUCCUUGUCCACCUCCUACACUUGUCUGCGGGGGAACAGCAGUAGCCUCGUGUCCAGGCGGUGAAUGUAGGAAUUUAAGGUCAGAGCAGAAGGGCGCUGCGCUCCCGGGUGGCCGAGGGCACUUCCUAGUCAGUAGUUUCGGGUAGCGGAGGUGUUGUUCCUGUCAGGGCUCCGCUCAGCCUGGCCUUGUCCCUGAAGCUCUCGCCACCUCCUGCGCCACCCAUCACCGUCUGCUCGGGCUCCCUCUGCUUGAGCAUGUCCCCCUGAGAGGUGUCAUCAGGCUCCACGGCCUCUGCUCCCGUCUAAGGUCCCACGUCCAACAACAGCCUCUCCGUAAAGUACCGGGACAGGUCACAUCCAAUGACAAGCAAUGGGCCGUGCCCUGUGGUUGGGGCGCCGAGGGCCACGGUGCUCCCACUGGGCCCAUCCUCGGGCCUGGACACCCUCUGGGGCGACCGGGAGCAGGGCUGCAAAGGCCUGCCCCGUGGCCUCCUUCCGGACCACUUGGCCCCCUGCCCCAGGGUCCCCCUCUCCCUGGCCCAGGCGGUGGGUGGGACUGCAGCCCACUUUUCCGGCUGCCCCAACCCGCUGUGCUGUCCCCCGUCCUGUGCCGGACAUGCACCACGGAGUCACACUCACCAGGCCUCAGUUAGCUGUGCGUUGUCACCUCUGUCUUGUCAAGCACCUGUUUGCUGGGAUCCCAAGUCCUAGGGCGCACCUGUUUGCUGGGAUCCCAUGUCCUAGGGCGCACGGAAGGCCACCUGCAUAGUGUCUGCAGUGCGGGAAGGGCUCGGUCCAGGUCGCUGAGCGGUCCAGACCUCGAGCCCUACCACAGUGGGCCUGUUUCCUGGGUGAGAGCAGGUGUAUUGGGGAGGGGGGGUCGAAUGACUAUUUAAAUCCUGGACAUGUAGGGCUGAAAGGAAACACAGGCAGGACAGCUGGGCGCCCUUUCCCGCGGCGAGGUUCAGGGAACAGUAACGGAGGUAACUUAUCGAAGGCCUUCUGCGUUCCAGGCAUAUUCACAGACCUCAUUUCUCUCAUAUCCCAGAAUAACCUUGUGACACAGACGCUAGUGUCACCACUUUAGAGCCGACAAAAUAAGGGUCGGAGGUCACACGACACGUUUAAAGUCCCAGCUGGCAGCUAAUCGAGGGGGAUGCAAAUCCAGAGCCUCUAGCUCUUGCGCCCUUGGAUUUUCCAGGACACACACUGCUGGUUUUCCUUUAGUCACAAAGCCAGGGUGGGGACCCGAGUCUCCAUUCGAGGUGUGAUCCCCCUGCCCCAAGUCACCUCAUCUCCAACAUGAGGCAUUGGCAGCCAUACAAGGGCGUAGGAGGCAACUGGCUCCAGAGCAAACUGCAACCAGAGGCGGCUUGUUUAGCCCAUCACGGCGUGCGGCGCGCCACCCGCGGAUCCCGUGGAGUCCCGCAAGUCCUCAGCAGCCAGGGAAGAUGACCACAGGUUUCAUGGAGCAUCAGUGCUUGGAAGUGAGCAGGAAUGAUAAAGGCACACGUUUUCCUUGGUGCCACAGCCACGAUCCCACUAGAUCUUCACCAGGUGUGUUGACGAUGGAUGUGCCUGGAGCCACAUUAAUGCAGAAAUUCAUUUCUUCAGAAGAUGAUCAUUUCCUUGCCCAUUUGGAAAACUGAUAUUCAGAGGAUUGGAAGGAUCACUCCUACCAAUCAAGAGGCUACACGUGCCUGGAAAUGUUCACCUGAAACAAGUGUCAGCACCCACCUCCGACAACGCCGACACCCACGCUGCUCCUCCUCGUGUUCAUUGGAGCCACGUGAAACCACUCAUUAGACUUUAUAUUAUAUGCUUCCACGGAUGAUAAACCUGUAAUAAAGCACAGUGCUCUUCAUUUCCUCCUCCCAAAGAAUGUGAGCGUAUGACCGUGGUUCAGCAAGCGUGCACGUUCCGCAGGACACACCAAGGUGGUGCUACAGCUGAAGUUUGUGGCCUCUCCCUGGCCCACGGAUUUGGACCUGCUGCACGUGCUUAUUUGUCAUCUUCCAAAACUCACUCUUGCCACUUCCUACAAAAGCAGAAACAGAAAACUGGCCACACUGUGAGGGUGGGGGGCACAGCACACAGGGGAUGGAGGUGCCCAUAGGCCUACUGAGAGGAUCCAAGAGAGAGGCUUUCCCAGCAGCUACUGGGCAGGCUUCUUGAUGGAAAUCUACCACACAGUUAGUAGGAACUAUGUCCCAUGUAUGUCCUCAGAAAGUGCUAUGUACCACUUUCCCAGACUUUCUGCCUCCUAGUCUGGAUCUCCAGAUUUAGUACUCUGAAUAGGGCCAGAAAGAAAUGGUCACUUUCAGCAGCAUUUACACAGCUGGGGAAUCUGGGUGCUCACUCACACACACAAACUUGUUGGAGAUGGUGGGGCAAAAAUGAGGAAUGUCUUAUGCUGCCAUGAUUAAAAACAAAUAUUUCCCCAAUUAGAAAGAAAAGUGUUGCUAUAGACAAUCAAUUCAUUUUAUUGUUUUGAGUUCAGUGGACAAAUGCUGUCCUAAGUAAGAAAAAAAAAAAAUGGUUUACCCUCCCUGGCUUAGGCCACUGCCCUACGCUGCUGGCCUUCAUACCAAACCUCUUUAGGGCAGAUCUUAAUACAGAAGCCUCUGCAUUUUGAUGCACAUCACAUAUUUAUCUGUUGCAACACAGCCUCUGGCCCACCCUUCCCCUGUUUUGUUCUUUGGAAGUCCUUUUCUUGGGAUUAAAACGUCUUAAGCCCUGCAUAGUGUUGCAGUCUCUCCCAGUUUGGAUUCUAGAAUACUUUUUUCUAAACUUUAUUUUUUAAGCUUUUAUGUUUUUUAAGUAAUCUUUACACCCAAAGUGGGGCUCAGACUUACAACCCCGAGAUCAAGAGUACAGGCUGUACCAACUGAACCAGGGAGGCACCCCUAUAAUCUUUUUAACCAGUCUGUCUCCAUUAGCUCUCUAAAAUUGGGCAUUAUCUAUGGUCCUGCCUGCCCUGAGCCCUCUUUUCAUUUUCUGCUUGUUCUCCCUGAAGCAUUCUAUCCCAUUUGUGUGUCCCCAGUUAUAUUUAACUAGCACCCCCGUAUGGAUGCUCCCAGAUUCAACCUCUCUCCCAAAUCUCAAUAUAUGAAUCUUCAGCUCUUAGUCUCCACAUGACCUGGUUAACCACCAUGGCUCUUUCAAACAGACAGAGCCACCCGCAACCACACACCCAGCAACACAUACAAGCAGUCCUUUAAAACCUUCACAUGAUUCACCACUUUAGGCCACUUACCUUGGCUCUACUAUCUGAAUUUUUCUUCAUUGUGAAUUUUCCCACUCCUUGCCUGCAUGCUUGGCAAAGAUUAUCUGGCUGAGUCCGAUUAUCUCCUCAAAAUAAAUCAAGGUCUUCCAAUGGCCUGCUGUCUUUGCCUACUGCUAAUAAACUUGCCCAGUUGGAGAACUUCUAAAAUUGAUAGUGUACUCCACUGCUCAUUCUCCUUCAAGCAAUCAAGACUGAGACCCACCUACACCUCAAAGAGUGUUAGUACCUUUCUCUGGACACCUGCUUGCCCUCCUGUCCUUUGGUGUCUUAAUGGCUCUAGUAUCCACAUUCCAAGGCUAAGUGAAACCUCAGUCAAUUCCUUAUUCCCUUUCCUCUCCUUGUUUAUUGCGGUAAAACACAUAACAUAAAAUUUACCAUCUUUAUCUUUUUUAAGUAUACAGUUCAGAAGUUUUAAGCAAACUCACAUUGCUGUGAAAGCAACCUCCAGAACUACUUCAUCUUGCAAAUGCGAAACUCCAUACUCAUUAUAGAACUCCCCUUUUCCCCCUCCUACAUUCCUUCCUCUCCUUAAACCCUAAAAUAAAUUCUUUCACAAAUCCUGUGGAUUUUUUUUCUGUAAUGCCAGAGGAAAUCAUAAGAUUUAGUGGUAUAAGGGAUCUGAAAGGUCCCCUGACACAGCUUUUAUGUCAGAGUAACUUCUAAAAUUUUCAUAUUCAAUGGGUAUCUGGUACAUUUUGUGCACAUCAACAGGCAGCAAGGC